CAUAUAUUAAACCUUCCAAACUACCUCCAUUUCUUCAUUUAUCAACUAAACAAAAUCUCUUUCCUUCUUACAUUUAAAAGUCUUCUAUCUUUAAAUUGUUCUCCUACAUCUGGUAUCAGAGCCAUUGGUUCGAUAGGAGGGUGAUUCAUUAACUAUGGCAGGAAAGAAUAUGGUGUGCAUGGUUCCCAAGUUGACGGGGAAACAAAAUUACAAUUUUUUGGAGGAUUCAGAUGGAGACACAUCUGAAGGCGUAUAAUUUGUUAAAAUAUACGCGAGA
rnacentral:lncRNA from 1 species